rnacentral:rRNA from 1 species
AUUGAACGCUGGCGGCAUGCUUUACACAUGCAAGUCGAACGGUAACAGGUUAAGCUGACGAGUGGCGAACGGGUGAGUAAUGCAUCGGAACGUGCCCGAUCGUGGGGGAUAACGCAGCGAAAGCUGCGCUAACACCGCAUACGAUCUGAGGAUGAAAGCGGGGGACCGUAAGGCCUCGCGCGAUCGGAGCGGCCGAUGUCAGAUUAGGUAGUUGGUGGGGUAAAGGCUCACCAAGCCAACGAUCUGUAGCUGGUCUGAGAGGACGACCAGCCACAUUGGGACAUGGACACGACCCAGACUCCUACGGGGGGCAGCAGUGGGGAAUUUUGGAGAAUGGGCGAAAGCCUGAUCCAGCAAUGCCGCGUGCAGGAAGAAGGCCUUCGGGUUGUAAACUGCUUUUGUACGGAGCGAAAAGGCCCUCUCUAAUACAGUGGGCUCAUGACGGUACCGUAAGAAUAAGCAUCGGCUAACUACGUGCCAGCCGCCGCCGUAA